CGAGCGGCAGCGGGAAGUAGCUUGCUACUUUUGCCGGCGAGCGGCGGACGGGUGAGUAAUGCCUGGGAAAUUGCCCAGUCGAGGGGGAUAACAGUUGGAAACGACUGCUAAUACCGCAUACGCCCUACGGGGGAAAGCAGGGGACCUUCGGGCCUUGCGCGAUUGGAUAUGCCCAGGUGGGAUUAGCUUGUUGGUGAGGUAAUGGCUCACCAAGGCGACGAUCCCUAGCUGGUCUGAGAGGAUGAUCAGCCACACUGGAACUGAGACACGGUCCAGACUCCUACGGGAGGCAGCAGUGGGGAAUAUUGCACAAUGGGGGAAACCCUGAUGCAGCCAUGCCGCGUGUGUGAAGAAGGCCUUCGGGUUGUAAAGCACUUUCAGCGAGGAGGAAAGGUUGAUACCUAAUACGUAUCAGCUGUGACGUUACUCGCAGAAGAAGCACCGGCUAACUCCGUGCCAGCAGCCGCGGUAAUAC
rnacentral:rRNA from 1 species